UGUUCUAACUGUUUUUGUUUUGAACUUUUAACAGAACAAAAUUGAGGAUCAUCUGCUAAUGACUCUGUUAACAGCUUGGUGCAUUUUUGGUGCUAUUGUAAUCGUGUUCCUACCAGAGACUAUGCAACAUCCGGAUCACCAGGAAAGAGAUGAAGAAAAGGAAGUGGAUACUCAAGCGAUGACCUAAACUAGCUAAUCCAAUGGAAUCAAUAACUUAAGAUACGCUACUACUGCCAUAUCUAGAGUUUGUUAAUUGUAUUCUCUCCAGAAAAAAAUCUCAUAACUAGUGAGCCCGAACGAUUGUUUGGAAAGUGUCAUCCACGACCAGAAAUGAAUGUUUCGGUAUAAAAUCAUUUAGGUAACUGAGUAAAAUGGUGUAAAAGCAUUAGAAUCUGUCAAUUUUUACAUAAGUAUUCAAAACUCAUACAUCGUGAACGUUAGAUUGCUGUUCCUCUUUGUGACACAUAUACGAUAUACGGCAAAUUGAUGUUUUGUGAAACUAACUUUAUCUAUAGGAGCAUUUAUUGCAUAUAUCCGGGAAAAGGCAAACAGCGAUUGGUGCGUCAAAUCCAUAUUGCCAUAUUUAACAAAACCAAUAGUCAUUACCAAUUUUAACUGAUAAAACAGGAAUAACAUUUUAAACAAUAACUAAAAAUAAAUAGCUGACGAAUUUUAGAUCGUUCAUCUGGCUGGUCCAGAGAACAGUUUUUUAUAUAAACUAUUUGACCACUACUGUAUACACGACAAUUAUUUACACACAUUCACACAGCUCUCACCAGUAUAAUAAAAACUGUAUACGUUGAACGACAUACAAACACAUAAUAAUAGACAUCAUACAUAUUUAUAAACGAAAACCUGUACUGGAAUAUGUUUGUGUCAUUUAAAUAAGUUUUUAGCUAAUCUACGGUAAAACAUGAGUGCUUGUCACAUGCUGCUGGAUUUUCGUUUCUGCUACCAGCGAGUGCUUAUUUCGUGUCAAUAUCAUUUUAAAUUCAAGUUCUAUUUGUUAUUUGGGAACAAACUCACCAGGACUGAAACCCAUAAAUUAUACAGUAGACACCAGUUGAACAAUGCCAAAACAAAUGGAAUUUAUUAAGUCAGUAAGCUAAAAAUUCAAAAGAGAUAUAACUAUAACUACUGUCAUACUUGAGAUAGUAUUAAUAAUUAUGAAAUCGUCCCAUGUGACAAGCACCGCGUUACAAAUUCCGAAGCCACUAAAUGUCAUACACGACGUUACACAAAAACAAUGCAUUUAGGCGAGUCGCCACCCCCUCCCCGAGCGACGGCUUAACGUCACAGAGAAAAGCGUUGCACAAAAAAAAGCAACCGAAAAAAGCAAAUCACCAACUAUAUUGCAAAGUUAAAAUUUAUCGAAUAGAUGUCGCAUUGUGAUAAAUUAACAAACAAACAAAAACAUAUAUAAAUAUGCUUUAGUCGUUUUAUAAUAGUGAAAAUGUAUAUCCAAUGACGGAUUUAAUCCCAGCUAAACUAUUUAAAUGUACUUAAAGUGGCUCUAUAUAACUAGGUUGUAAACUGAUUUAAUAGAUAUUCAAAAUGCACCCCUUGAAUUAGAAACAUUUCUAUCAACGAACUACAAUCAAAACAAAGCAUGUAUUUGGAGUUGAGAGAGAGAGAGAAAGAGUUACAAUUUUAUGCUUGAGCUAGUUUGAAAUCAUAAUAUUUUUAGAAUUCCUGUUUGGACGCAAUUGAAAAUCGUUGCAUGUUUUGACCUUCACAAGAAGGUAUUUGUUUUCGUGUCGAAACACAAACAAUUACUAUCGAUGUUGGGCUUGAUAGAGAGCAUUUAUUGAAUCGCUAAACACGAGUGAUAGGGUAAGUUAAUGAAUGAGUACACAUGUUAUCUUUUGUACAUUUUCAUGCGUUAGUACUUAACAAUAGGACUACUGUAGUUGAUAGUGUUAUGAUAGUAGAUGUAAUAUAAAAGAGCGUACAGAUUCGUACAGAUAUCGUACUCGGAUAACAUGAAUGAAAUCGGGAAAACAAUUCACGAGAAUUGCCGUUUCGUCAAAUCAUUCAAAUUACUCCAAUACUGCUGUGUACAUACAACCCCAUUUUUAUUGAUUGUAACGGCAAUAGGCGACUAAAAUAUUGUUAAUAAAUGUGCUAUAAUGGAA